rnacentral:rRNA from 1 species
GACGAACGCUGGCGGCGUGCCUAAUACAUGCAAGUCGAACGCAGGGGGGACGGGUGAGUAACACGUGGGUAACCUCCCAUCAGAGGGGAUAACACUUGGAAACAGGUGCUAAACCGAUACUGAUGGAUGGACCCGCGGUGCAUUAGCUAGUUGGUGCGGUAACGGCUCACCAAGGCCACGAUGCAGAGCAGAUGUGCGAGGGGGGUCGGACACAGUGGGACUGAGACACGGCCCAGACUCAGACGGGAGUCAGCAGUAGGGAAUCUUCGGCAAUGGACGAAAGUCUGACCGAGCAACGCCGCGUGAGUGAUGAAGGUUUUCGGAUCGUAAAAUUCUGUGGUUAGAAAAGCGGUAUCUAACCAGAAAGCCACGGCUAACUACGUGCCAGCAGCCGCGGUAAUUC